rnacentral:tRNA from 1 species
CGGGGCCGGGCGCCCGGCGGCGCCGGUUCGGCCUCGGCGAGCUGGGGCGCGGCCGCGUCCAGGUGGAGUUCAAGUCUCCGCCGCCCGGA